ACUUUGAUUCUGGCUCGGGACGAACGCUGGCGGCGCGCCUAACACAUGCAAGUCGAGCGGGAAGCUUUUUAAGGAUUCUUCGGAUGAAUUAAAAAGUGGAGAGCGGCGGACGGGUGAGUAACGCGUGAGAAACCUGCCCUAUACAGGGGGAUAGCCAUUGGAAACGAUGAUUAAUACCCCAUAUGACCACAGUAUCGCAUGAUACAGCGGUGAAAACUCCGGUGGUAUAGGAUGGUCUCGCGUCUGAUUAGCUAGUUGGUGGGGUAACGGCCUACCAAGGCGACGAUCAGUAGCCGGCCUGAGAGGGUGACCGGCCACACUGGAACUGAGACACGGUCCAGACUCCUACGGGAGGCAGCAGUGGGGAAUAUUGCACAAUGGGCGAAAGCCUGAUGCAGCGACGCCGCGUGAACGAUGAAGGCUUUCGAGUCGUAAAGUUCUGUUCUUGGGGAAGAUAACGACGGUGCCCAAGGAGAAAGCACCGGCUAAAUACGUGCCAGCAGCCGCGGUA
rnacentral:rRNA from 1 species